rnacentral:lncRNA from 1 species
UCCUAUCAGAAAAAUCUAUUGCAGGAAUCCAUUGAUAGUAGAUCUGUUAAUAUCUCCUUCGAGGAAUUCAAGAUCAUCAUCAUCCCCCAUGCCAGAAUUUGUCAUCGCCGUUUUAGCAAUAUUACCGGUUCCAAUCCCCAUUAGUUUGUCCUUCCAUGAUAGAUUUGGGGUCGGCCUUGGGUCAACCGUCAUUUCUGUGUUCGCCUCACCGUUGGUCUCUUCCUUCUUAGUAUUUCUAUCCACAUCUUCUUGAGAACCUUCACCAUCAUCUACUUCCAGAUGAUUCCCAUCACCACCGGAUUCCAGAGAAAUUUCCAUUUUGUUCCAAAUAAAAAGUCUUGAAACAAGAUAAUCUGUAUUCUAAAAUCCAAUUGCUGCUUCUUUGAGCAAAGCCAAAAUCCAUUCCUGGCGUGAUUUACAAAUUGCAAAUGUAGCUUUUGUUUUUCAAAGUUUUGAUCGUUAGAAAAGUGGUUUUAUUGUUGAAUUAAUUAGCUUAAGCAUGCUUCUUUCAAUGUUAAAUUUGUUUGUCUGAUGCAACUACGGAAACUAAAUCUUUGCUGGGAUGGUGCCUUGCUCCUUCGCAUAAGAUCCCACAUCAAGGAGCGUACGCAAGAAGAGGCGAGAAGCAGGU